rnacentral:rRNA from 1 species
AGACCGAUAGCGAACAAGUAGAGUGAUCGAAAGAUGAAAAGCACUUUGGAAAGAUAGUUAAACAGUACGUGAAAUUGUUGAAAGGGAAGCGCUUGCAAUCAGACUUGCACUUGGUGUUCAUCAGGGUCUCGUACCCUGUGUACUUCAUCAAGUUCAGGCCAGCAUCAGUUUGAGUGGUUAGAUAAAGGCUUAGAGAAUGUGGCCCUCUUCGGGGGGUGUUAUAGCUCUAGGUGCAAUGUAGCCUACUUGGACUGAGGACCGCGCUUCGGCUAGGAUGCUGGCGUAAUGGUUGUAAGCGACCCGUCUUGAAACACGGACCAAGA